AACGAACGCUGGCGGCAGGCUUAACACAUGCAAGUCGAACGAGAAGCUUUCCUUCGGGAAGGUGGACAGUGGCAGACGGGUGAGUAACGCGUGGGAAUCUACCCAGUGGUACGGAAUAACUCAGGGAAACUUGGGCUAAUACCGUAUGUGCCCUCCGGGGGAAAGAUUUAUCGCCAUUGGAUGAGCCCGCGUCUGAUUAGCUAGUUGGUGGGGUAAUAGCCUACCAAGGCGACGAUCAGUAGCUGGUUUGAGAGAGCGACCAGCCACACUGGGACUGAGACACGGCCCAGACUCCUACGGGAGGCAGCAGUGGGGAAUAUUGGACAAUGGGGGCAACCCUGAUCCAGCCAUGCCGCGUGCGUGAAGAAGGCCUUAGGGUUGUAAAGCGCUUUCACUGGUGAAGAUGAUGACGGUAGCCAGAGAAGAAGCCCCGGCUAACUACGUGCCAGCAGCCGCGGUAAUACGGAAGGGGCGAGCGUUGUUCGGAAUUAUUGGGCGUAAAGGGCGUGUAGGCGGCUUCGUAUGUCUGGGGUGAAAUCUUGCAGCUCAACUGCAUCGAGCC
rnacentral:rRNA from 1 species